UGCGUAGGCGGAUUGAUAAGUCAGUGGUGAAAACCUUCAGCUUAACUGGAGACUUGCCAUCGAUACUGUUAGUCUUGAGUACGGUCAAGGUAGGCGGAAUGUGUAAUGUAGCGGUGAAAUGCUUAGAUAUUACACAGAACACCGAUUGCGAAGGCAGCUUACUGGGCCAUUACUGACGCUGAGGCACGAAAGCGUGGGGAGCGAACAGGAUUAGAUACCCUGGUAGUCC
rnacentral:rRNA from 1 species